rnacentral:rRNA from 1 species
ACUCAAAUGAAUUGACGGGGGCCCGCACAAGCGGUGGAGCAUGUGGUUCAAUUCGACGCAACGCGAAGAACCUUACCAGCCCUUGACAUCCCGGUCGCGGGAACGAGAGAUCGAUCCCUUCAGUUCGGCUGGACCGGAGACAGGUGCUGCAUGGCUGUCGUCAGCUCGUGUCGUGAGAUGUUGGGUUAAGUCCCGCAACGAGCGCAACCCUCGCCCUUAGUUGCCAUCAUUUAGUUGGGCACUCUAAGGGGACUGCCGGUGAUAAGCCGCGAGGAAGGUGGGGAUGACGUCAAGUCCUCAUGGCCCUUACGGGCUGGGCUACACACGUGCUACAAUGGCGGUGACAAUGGGAUGCAAUGGAGCGAUCCUGCGCAAAUCUCAAAAAGCCGUCUCAGUUCGGAUUGGGCUCUGCAACUCGAGCCCAUGAAGUUGGAAUCGCUAGUAAUCGCAGAUCAGCACGCUGCGGUGAAUACGUUCCCGGGCCUUGUACACACCGCCCGU